rnacentral:rRNA from 1 species
GUCGUAACAAGGUUUCCGUAGGUGAACCUGCGGAAGGAUCAUUGUCGAAACCUUCAAAAAUAGACAGCGAACAUGUUAAACCACUUGGGAUUGAUGCACAGGGAAACUUUGUGUGAACUCCCCUUCUCGUGUAUGUGCGUUUGACCUCAAGCGCUUGUACUACGGGCUAACGAACCCCGGCGCGGCAUGCGCCAAGGAAUACUCAUAGAUGCGUCCUUCUUCAACGCCCUGUACUCGGUGAGCGAUGUUGGUAGGUACGUCUCUCCAAAGUCUAAACGACUCUCGGCAAYGGAUAUCUCGGCUCUCGCAUCGAUGAAGAACGUAGCGAAAUGCGAUACUUGGUGUGAAUUGCAGAAUCCCGUGAACCAUCGAGUCUUUGAACGCAAGUUGCGUCCGAAACCACUUGGUUGAGGGCACGUCUGCCUGGKCGUCACGCAUCGCGUUGCCUUUAUAUAUAUCACGUAAAUUGUGAUCGAAUAUGGUGCGGAUAUUGSCCCCCUGUGUACAUUAGUAUGUGGUCGGCCUAAAUUAGAAACUGCGGCGACUGGCGUCACGAUCAGUGGUGGUUGAACACUAGACUUCGUGUAAUCGUGUCAGAUGCAUUAUAGCAUGUCAGCUUCGUAACAAAACCCAAUGGCUUGAUCCACUCGAGCUUCGACCGCGA